AUAAAUAAAUGAUGUCUGUAUUUGUUAAAAUUACUUCUCAGUUAAAAGACCCAGAUACCAAUGUGGAAUAAGACACAAAUCGAAGGCAUCUACAUUUAGGUUGUCCAGAAGAAAUUGUUACUGCUGGCAUACCUGAUGUCACCCACAAGAUUCUCAACCCUCAGCACAAGUGCUCAUUCUCUCAUUCUCUUCAGCUGACCACAAAGAGGCAAAAUCAAUAAGCAUCGGCCAGCAAAAGCUUUAGCAUAGAUGCUAAGGCAAAUGGACUGUCCAAGAUGCCCUGGAAAAACAGUCCAGUGAUGAUGAAGAAAAU